rnacentral:rRNA from 1 species
ACGACGUCAAGUCAUCAUGGCCCUUAUGUCCUGGGCUACACACGUAAUACAAUGGUCGGUACAAAAAGCGAAGCCGCGAGGCGGAGCAAAUCCCCAAAAACGGUCUCAGUUCGGAUCGCAGGCUGCAACCCGCCUGCGUGAAGUUGGAAUUGCUAGUAAUCGCGAAUCAGCAUGUCGCGGUGAAUACGUUCCCGGGUCUU